AUUCGUUCUCUUUUUCUUCCAAUCUUAUUUCAUCCACUUCCUGCCUGCAUAGGAAACAGAGGUCUGCGUGGAUAAAACCUGCACUCAUUGCUGUUUGCCGAACCCCUCCAAGUUAGUGUGCAGCAGGCAGAAGCAUUUGUAUGGUCACUGCUGGUGGGGUUCAGGAUUCUGAUGGACAUGCCAUAUGCCAUUAAGAGUGCUUAUCCAAUAUUCUCUAACGCUGUGGGUGAACAGGCUCAAAGCAUCACCAGGCAAAAAAAGAAAAAGUGUUAGCUCCUUGAGGAGGUAAUUCAAGGCCCCUAAUGCAGGAGGAUUAGGAUGAAUGGUUUUGAUUUGGCCUCAUCUUUGGAGAGUCUGCAGCGUAAUGUGAGACAAUGGCUACAAUAAAACCUACAUGGAUUGAAUAAUGCA
rnacentral:lncRNA from 1 species